rnacentral:rRNA from 1 species
UACAGAGGGUGCAAGCGUUAAUCGGAAUUACUGGGCGUAAAGCGUGCGUAGACGGUAGCGUAAGUCGGGUGUGAAAGCCCCGGGCUCAACCUGGGAAUUGCAUUCGAGACUGCUCUGCUAGGGUGCGGAAGAGGGAAGCGGAAUUUCCGGUGUAGCGGUGAAAUGCGUAGAUAUCGGAAGGAACACCAGUGGCGAAAGCGGCUUCCUGGUCCAGCACCGACGUCAGCAGCGACGAGGGA